rnacentral:ncRNA from 1 species
UUAAAGUUUUUAAUCUUUUUUUCUGUAUUUGUGUUUCUUUUUUAUGUAAAUUUUAGUGGGAGAUAAUUUUUGUUUAAAUAAUAUGGAUUGUUAGUUUGCAGUGGAUAGUUUUAUUUCUUUGAGGGGUCAAGAAAUAGGAAAAUAAUGAAAGUGUAGGCUAUAUUUGUGCCAGCAGUAGCGGUUAUACAUAUUACGCGAUAUAGAGGGUUCAGUUAUAGUUAAAUUUAAUUUGAGGGGUUGAAUAAAAUUAUAUUAGGUGAAAUUUUAUAGGUUUUAUAUUUUUUAUUUAUGAGGCUAGUAAAUUUUUUUUUCACUGGGAUUAGAUACCCCAUUAUUGAAAUCAAGGUUAUAAUGCUGAGUUAUUUUUAGUUAUUUUCUUUAAAACUAAUAGAGAUGGCGGUAUUUUAUCUUUUCAGAGGAGCCUGCCCUGUAAUUGAUGGUCCACGAUUAAGAGUACCUUGAUUUUGAGUUUACAUAUCGCUGUUAAUGGUUAUUUCUAAUGAAUAAAAAUGUCCUAAAAUUUGUAUAAAAAUAAACCAGGUCAAGAUGUAGUUUAUAUUAGGGUAGAGGUGGGCUACAAAAAUUUUAAUUUAUGGAUAAAUGGAUUGAGUCUUUUUUGAAAGUGGAUUUGAAAGUAAUUAAAAGUAAUAUUUAUUUGAUGAUUUAGUGCUAAAAUAUGUACAUAUCGCCCGUCGCUUUCAUUUUAAUGUGGAAUAAGUCGUAACAAAGUAGGCGUACUGGAAGGUGUAUCUGGAUUGUC